CUACGGGACGCAGCAGUGGGGAAUAUUGGACAAUGGGGGAAACCCUGAUCCAGCAAUGCCGCGUGAGUGAAGAAGGCCUUAGGGUUGUAAAGCUCUUUCAGAUGUGAGGAUGAUGACAGUAGCAUCAGAAGAAGCCCCGGCUAACUCCGUGCCAGCAGCCGCGGUAAUACGGAGGGGGCUAGCGUUGUUCGGAUUUACUGGGCGUAAAGCGCGCGUAGGCGGCGCGCCAAGUCAGAGGUGAAAGGCCGGGGCUCAACCCUGGAACUGCCUUUGAUACUGGCGUGCUUGAGUUCUAGAGAGGGUGGCGGAAUUCCAAGUGUAGAGGUGAAAUUCGUAGAUAUUUGGAAGAACACCAGUGGCGAAGGCGGCCACCUGGCUAGAUACUGACGCUGAGGUGCGAAAGCGUGGGGAGCAAACAGGAUUAGAUACCCUAGUAGUC
rnacentral:rRNA from 1 species